CGGGUGAGUAACACAUGGGUAACCUGCCUGUAAGACUGGGAUAACUCCGGGAACCGGGGCUAAUACCGGAUGGUUGUUUGAACCGCAUCGGUUCAAACAUAAAAGGUGGCUUCGGCUACCACUUACAGAUGGACCCGCGGCGCAUUAGCUAGUUGGUGAGGUAACGGCUCACCAAGGCRACGAUGCGUAGCCGACCUGAGAGGGUGAUCGGCCACACAGGGACUGAGACACGGCCCAGACUCCUACGGGAGGCAGCAGUAGGGAAUCUUCCGCAAUGGACGAAAGUCUGACGGAGCAACGCCGCGUGAGUGAUGAGGUUUUCGGAUCGUAAAGCUCUGUUGUUAGGGAAGAACAAGUACCGUUCGAAUAGGGCGGUACCUUGACGGUACCUAACCAGAAAGCCACGGCUAACUACGUGCCAGCAGCCGCGGUAAUACGUAGGUGGCAAGCGUUGUCCGGAAUUAUUGGGCGUAAAGGGCUCGCAGGCGGUUUCUUAAGUCUGAUGUGAAAGCCCCCGGCUCAACCGGGGAGGGUCAUUGGAAACUGGGGAACUUGAGUGCAGAAGAGGAGAGUGGAAUUCCACGUGUAGCGGUGAAAUGCGUAGAGA
rnacentral:rRNA from 1 species